GAGAUUGAAGAUGUCUGGUGUGGAUGAAGAGGAGGGCAGAUCAGGUGUGGACAGAUGCAUAUUUCAGUUAUCAGAGUGGACUCAGAAACCGAACGCUGCAGGACCUGCUGCAAGCAGUUUCACCUCCACUGUGCCUAAAGUUCAAACCUGAAAGUGUUCAAGUUGCAGAACCACAUAGAAUCACAUAAAAAAGGUGGCAUUUCAUUUAAAGGCAAACAAGCGAACUCUGUGAAAAUGGCGGCGUGUCAUGCUCAUGGAACACUUUGAUCUUGGAAGGUGAGGUGCCACCAGUUUUUCGCCUGAAGGGAAAAUUGGAUGACAUGACAGAGUACAGCCUUUUAAGGCUGAAGAGAGGAAGAAAAGUUGUCGUCAAACAGCUGCUCCAGUUGUGCAGGGGAUGCAGACAACUGAAGAAGAGGUGGGCCUGAC